rnacentral:rRNA from 1 species
UACGUAGGAGGCAAGCGUUGUCCGGAAUUACUGGGUGUAAAGCGCGUUUAGGCGGCAGGCCAAGUCUGUGGUGAAAUCGCUCGGCUCAACUGGGCGGGGUCCAUGGAAACUGGUCAGCUGGAGGACGGUAGAGGUGAGUGGAAUUCCCGGUGUAGUGGUGAAAUGCGUAGAGAUCGGGAGGAACACCCGUGGCGAAGGCGGCUCACUGGGCCGGUCCUGACGCUGAGACGCGAAGGCGUGGGGAGCGAACGGG